rnacentral:rRNA from 1 species
CCUACGGGGGGCAGCAGUGGGGAAUAUUGGACAAUGGGGGCAACCCUGAUCCAGCCAUGCCGCGUGUGUGAAGAAGGCCCUCGGGUUGUAAAGCACUUUCAGUGAGGAAGAACGCCUGGUGGUUAAUACCCAUCAGGAAAGACAUCACUCACAGAAGAAGCACCGGCUAACUCCGUGCCAGCAGCCGCGGUAAUACGGAGGGUGCGAGCGUUAAUCGGAAUUACUGGGCGUAAAGCGCGCGUAGGUGGCUUGAUAAGCCGGUUGUGAAAGCCCCGGGCUCAACCUGGGAACGGCAUCCGGAACUGUCAAGCUAGAGUGCAGGAGAGGAAGGUAGAAUUCCCGGUGUAGCGGUGAAAUGCGUAGAGAUCGGGAGGAAUACCAGUGGCGAAGGCGGCAUUCUGGACUGACACUGACACUGAGGUGCGAAAGCGUGGGUAGCAAACAGGAUUAGAUACCCCAGUAGUA